AGCGAACGCUGGCGGCAGGCCUAACACAUGCAAGUCGAACGAAGUCUUCGGACUUAGUGGCGGACGGGUGAGUAACACGUGGGAACGUGCCUUUAGGUUCGGAAUAACUCAGGGAAACUUGUGCUAAUACCGAAUGAGCCCUUCGGGGGAAAGAUUUAUCGCCGAAAGAUCGGCCCGCGUUGGAUUAGGUAGUUGGUGUGGUAAAGGCGCACCAAGCCUACGAUCCAUAGCUGGUCUGAGAGGAUGAUCAGCCACACUGGGACUGAGACACGGCCCAGACCCCUACGGGAGGCAGCAGUGGGGAAUCUUGCGCAAUGGGCGAAAGCCUGACGCAGCCAUGCCGCGUGAAUGAUGAAGGUCUUAGGAUUGUAAAAUUCUUUUACCAGGGACGAUAAUGACGGUACCUGGAGAAAAAGCCCCGGCUAACUUCGUGCCAGCCGCCGCCGUAAAAC
rnacentral:rRNA from 1 species